rnacentral:rRNA from 1 species
GAUGAACGCUGGCGGCGUGCCUAAUACAUGCAAGUAGAACGCUGAAGGAAGGAGCUUGCUCUUUCCGGAUGAGUUGCGAACGGGUGAGUAACGCGUAGGUAACCUGCCUGGUAGCGGGGGAUAACUAUUGGAAACGAUAGCUAAUACCGCAUAACAGUAGAUGUUGCAUAAUAUCUACUUAAAAGGUGCAAUUGCACCACUACCAGAUGGACCUGCGUUGUAUUAGCUAGUUGGUGAGGUAACGGCUCACCAAGGCGACGAUACAUAGCCGACCUGAGGGGGUGAUCGGCCACACUGGGACUGAGACACGGCCCAGACUCCUACGGGAGGCAGCAGUAGGGAAUCUUCGGCAAUGGACGGAAGUCUGACCGAGCAACGCCGCGUGAGUGAAGAAGGUUUUCGGAUCGUAAAGCUCUGUUGUAAGAGAAGAACGAGUGUGAGAGUGGAAAGUUCACACUGUGACGGUAUCUUACCAGAAAGGGACGGCUAACUACGUG